rnacentral:lncRNA from 1 species
CUAACCUAACCUACCCGAGCAUAACCUAAUAGAUCUUAACCUAGCCUAACAUACCUUAACCUAACCUAUCCUAACUUAUCCUAACCCAACCAAACCUAACCUAUCAUUAUAUUGAUUUUCCAUUAUAUUUAUAAGUAUAUCUAUUUAUCACAUUCGCCACUUAUCAGCUGACUAGCCGUUUGGGCGGUUUAUCCAGGAGGAAACCGAGGACCGGGGAGGAACCUGUGGUGUUUGGUAGGGUCACAUUGGAUAUCACCCUUCUCAGGUGUGUCCGGGCCGAGGCUCGAACCCUUGAUAUAUUGGUGAGAGUUAUGCGCUUUACCACCAACGUCCUACAUCUGAGUAAUACUGAAUAAUAGUAUAGAUCAUUUUUUUAUUACCAUUCUGUACAGGCCAAAAAAAUUAAUUAAUUUCCCAUCACAAGAAAAAUGGUAUGAUGUUUCUAUGUUCAAUGUUGAUGCUGCAUAUAAACAAUGGAUUCACCAAAAUUAUUGUCAUACAGAUGCCUCAAAUUUUACUAGAUGAUUGAAUACACUUGUGACUAAGACUCUAGUUUUAAUUUUUAUAAGAAUAAUUUUAAGUUGUGCAGGGGAAAAAAGUAGCAUUGAUCGGGUAACUGGACCAAAAAAAUUCUCCCAUAUAAAUUUUGUAUUUUGAGUAUGAAUCUUGCCAUUCUAUUUCCUGACUUUUAAUCAGUUUUUGGUCAAAGAGGUCAGGGUGCACUUUGAAUGAAAUACUGGAUACAUUUUUUAAUAUGGAAUCAUUGUAUUGACAGCGGGUUUUUGAUGGCAUCUUGAAGCGUUUGCUAGGAGGUGGAUUCAUCGUCAAGUGGAUGUCUGCACUAAUUGAGAAACACACACUGGCCACACGCAGGAAGGCUGUGGAAGCUGCAAUGUUGAGGGGAAAGUUGGAGACAGUACUGGAGGGGGAUCAGCUGAGACUCACCUUGUACCACCUGCAGGGAGUUUUCUUCAUUUUUGCUGCUGGUCUGCUCCUCUCUGCCCUAACUUUCACCUGUGAGCUAAUCCUCUUUGAUUUCUCUUACGGCAAGAAGGAUUAACAUCAUCAACCGUUCCUGAAAGACUUGCUUGAGUUCACUCUUCCUAUACUGUACAUGGGAAGCUCCUUCUUCUGACCUAUUCUCACAGUAGAAACUCCUUUAUUCUUCAGGACUUUGCUUGAGUAUUAUCCAUAUAUACUAAGUAAGGAAUUCAAUUAUGUUUAUCAUAGCCAUACUGUAUUUAAACUGUUUUUAUUAGAGUUUAAACAUUUUGCACAUCAGUCUUUCUGUUUCACUGCAUGUACUGAACAAAAUAUUUUUUGGUGAGGAAAUAGAGUGGAAAAUAUAGGUACGCAUAAAUGUAAUCUAUUUAUUUGCAUGUUUUAAAAGGAAUUCUAGAAGGGCUAGAAAUUCUAAAUUUGUGUCUUUGGUGGCCUACUCAACUGGAUAUUAGAGACUCAGGGUUCAGUUACAACUUUGCUCCACCAGCACACUUCAUGUAUCAUGUCCUUGCCUUCUUUUAUCUUAAUACUGCACUGCACUUAUUUUUAUUAGGCACUCUGAAAUGUCUUGUAAUGGCUAUUAUCAUAUACAGUACAGUACUAUUGUUUCUCACAAAGAUGCAUAAACACUCCACUACCACUUCAUGAACCUUACUCACUACUGUAUACCAUAGCCCAGUCCUUCAUCACUUCUCUCCUUACUCAAUGGACACUUUAUUUCCUACAUCCCAUUGUAUGAACUAGAAAAACAAACGGAAUCGGGAAGCACAAGAACAAGUAGAGGUAGUAACAAAAUUAUAAGAAAUAAUUUGUACCACUCAUGUAUGGCAAAAUCCUGAUAUUAAGCUAAAUUUCAACUCAUAAA